rnacentral:rRNA from 1 species
GCGGGAAUUUUGGGCAAUGGGCGAAAGCCUGACCCAGCAACGCCGCGUGAAGGAUGAAGUAUUUCGGUAUGUAAACUUCGAAAGAAUAGGAAGAAUAAAUGACGGUACUAUUUAUAAGGUCCGGCUAACUACGUGCCAGCAGCCGCGGUAAUACGUAGGGACCAAGCGUUGUUCGGAUUUACUGGGCGUAAAGGGCGCGUAGGCGGCAAUUCAAGUCAUCUGUGAAAUCUCCGGGCUUAACUCGGAACGGUCAGAUGAUACUGCUUUGCUAGAGUGCAGAAGGGGCAAUCGGAAUUCUUGGUGUAGCGGUGAAAUGCGUAGAUAUCAAGAGGAACACCUGAGGUGAAGACGGGUUGCUGGGCUGACACUGACGCUGAGGCGCGAAAGCCAGGGGAGCAAACGGGAUUAGAUACCCACGUAGUCCCUGAGCGGGCUGGCAAGGCGCAU